UAACAUUUUGAGGCUUCUGCUGCUGGUUUCACACAGACCUCCGGGAUAGUGGUGCUCACAGCUGCUGCCUGUCUACUCAGACUGAUAAGGUCUCCUCAGGGAUAUGCUUGUCAUGGUGUUCACCAGAUCUCUUGGAAGGUGUGACAGCUGCCAGUAGUACCAGCAAUCCUGGGCAGGUUUGGUGUGGAGAUUACUGAUGAAGAGUUUGAGCUGCUACUUGACAGAAUCCCCCUUGAUGAAGAUGGAAAUGUCAGAUACCCCCAGUUCAUGCUCAGGUUUGAUUCUUGGUAUGCAGUGUAUGCAUUUUAUUUCUCAUUUGUGAUUAGAAUUAUUUUUAAUCUAAAAGGCUCACAUA